rnacentral:rRNA from 1 species
GACGAACGCUGGCGGCGUGCUUAACACAUGCAAGUCGAGCGGUAAGGCCCUUUCGGGGGUACACGAGCGGCGAACGGGUGAGUAACACGUGGGUGACCUGCCCUCCACUCUGGGAUAAGCCCGGGCAACUUGGUCUAAUACCGGAUAGGACCAUUGGAUGCAUGUCUGGUGGUGGACAGUUUUUUCGGUGGCGGAUGGGCCCGCGGCCUAUCAGCUUGUUGGUGGGGUGAUGGCCUACCAAGGCGGUGACGGGUAGCCGGCCUGAGAGGGCGACCGGCAACACUGGGACUGAGACACGGCCCAGACUCCUACGGGAGGCAGCGGUGGGGAGUAUUGCGCAAUGGGCGGAAGCCUGACGCAGCGACGCCGCGUGGGGGACGACGGCCUUCGGGUUGUAAACCUCUUUCGCCAGGGACGAAGCUAACGUGACGGUACCUGGAGAAGAAGCACCGGCCAACUACGUGCCAGCCGCCGCCGUAA